GAUGAAGAACGUAGCGAAAUGCGAUAAGUAGUGUGAAUUGCAGAAUUCAGUGAAUCAUCGAAUCUUUGAACGCACAUUGCGCCCCUUGGUAUUCCAUGGGGCAUGCCUGUUCGAGCGUCAUUAAAAUCACUCAAGCUUAGGUUUACCUAUUGCUUGGUCUUGGAGAUGGAAGCCAAUUUAUUGGAAUCCUCUUCGAAAUUCAAUGGCGAAGACCCUUGCUCUCCCAAGUGUAGUAAUAACUUAUGUCACUGAAGGAAGCGAGAAAUCUUCUGCCGUAACCCCCAUAUUUUCUAUGAUUGACCUCGGAUCAGGUAGGGAUACCCGCUGAACUUAAGCAUAUCAAUAAGCGGAGGA
rnacentral:misc_RNA from 1 species